CCUACUUCGGGUUUGUAUGGAAAUUAGCCAUUAUAGCCCGCCCCUCGUGCCGCUUUGGAAAGCGUUUACAAGAGUAUAAAUGGCUGUACUGAUGGUGCGAAAAGUUAGAAGAGUUAGGAGAUUUGAACUUUGGAAAAAUCUACAACAAUGGAGCUCAGUUCAUUGAUUUUUCUGAUCCUUUCAUGCUCUUUUUGUUACGUUGUUGCAUUUUCACCGACACAAGAGGUGUGUCAACUUCAAGUAGAUGAGGGACCUUGCAAAGUAUAUCUCAAACGUUACUACUACAAUACUUUCACUCAACAAUGCGAAGAGUUUGUCUAUGGAGGGUGCCUUGGGAAUGCAAACAACUUCAUGAGUUUUCUGGCGUGUGAGAUAGCAUGUUUUAGAAUACCAAAGGUCCCCCAUAUCUGCACUUUACAGAAAGAUGCGGGUCCCUGUGAUGCCUAUUGGCCGAGCUACUUCUUCAACAUGACCACCAUGCAGUGUGAGCAGUUCAUCUACGGAGGCUGCCAGGGCAACGCGAACCGCUUUAAGGACCAGUUGUCUUGCAUGGAGUACUGUAGACCACGAUAGGGAAAACAUUUCCACAUCCAGUGUUGAGCAUGGGCUUAUAGGGCGGUGCACAAUUGGCCCAGCAUCGUCGGGGUUUGGCCAUCAUUGCAAAUAAGAAUUGUUUGUAACUGACUUGCCUAGUUAAAUAAAGGUGUUCACUCUA